GACGAACGCUGGCGGCGUGCUUAACACAUGCAAGUCGAACGGAAAGGCCCUGCUUGCAGGGUACUCGAGUGGCGAACGGGUGAGUAACACGUGGGUGAUCUGCCCUGCACUUCGGGAUAAGCUUGGGAAACUGGGUCUAAUACCGGAUAGGAGCCAUCUUUAGUGUGGUUGUUGGAAAGUUUUUUCGGUGUAGGAUGAGCUCGCGGCCUAUCAGCUUGUUGGUGGGGUAAUGGCCUACCAAGGCGGCGACGGGUAGCCGGCCUGAGAGGGUGUACGGCCACAUUGGGACUGAGAUACGGCCCAGACUCCUACGGGAGGCAGCAGUGGGGAAUAUUGCACAAUGGGCGCAAGCCUGAUGCAGCGACGCCGCGUGGGGGAUGAAGGCCUUCGGGUUGUAAACUCCUUUCGCUAGGGACGAAGCUUUGUUGUGACGGUACCUAGAUAAGAAGCACCGGCUAACUACGUG
rnacentral:rRNA from 1 species